rnacentral:rRNA from 1 species
GACGUAGGAGGCGAGCGUUAUCCGGAUUCACUGGGCGUAAAGCGCAAGUAGGCGGUUGUGAAAGUCCGUUGUUAAAGCCCCUGGCUCAACUGGGGGAGGUCAAUGGAGACUUUAUGACUUGAGGGCAACAGAGGCAUGUGGAAUUCCUGGUGUAGCGGUGGAAUGCGCAGAUAUCAGGAGGAACACCGAUAGCGAAGGCAGCUCGCUGGGACGGUACUGACGCUGAGGCGCGAAAGCCAGGGGAGCAAACGGG